UACGUAGGGUGCAAGCGUUGUCCGGAAUUAUUGGGCGUAAAGAGCUCGUAGGCGGUCUGUUACGUCUGCUGUGAAAACCCAGGGCUUAACCCUGGGCUUGCAGUGGAUACGGGCAGACUAGAGGCAGGUAGGGGAGAAUGGAAUUCCCAGUGUAGAGGUGAAAUUCGUAGAUAUUGGGAAGAACACCGGUGGCGAAGGCGGCGCUCUGGACCGAGACUGACGCUGAGGCGCGAAAGCGUGGGGAGCAAACAGG
rnacentral:rRNA from 1 species